CGGCGGACGGGUGAGUAACGCGUGGGUAACCUGCCUUAUACAGGGGGAUAACAGUUAGAAAUGACUGCUAAUACCGCAUAAGCGCACAGUACUGCAUGGUACAGUGUGAAAAACUCCGGUGGUAUAAGAUGGACCCGCGUCUGAUUAGCCAGUUGGCGGGGUAACGGCCCACCAAAGCGACGAUCAGUAGCCGACCUGAGAGGGUGACCGGCCACAUUGGGACUGAGACACGGCCCAAACUCCUACGGGAGGCAGCAG
rnacentral:rRNA from 1 species